UUGCGAAUAUUCUCGCUGGCUUGAUUUUAAUGCUUUAGUCAAGUCAGGCUAGUCAUUCGCUAGAUUAAUGCUGUGCUUGUUGUCCACAGGACUACUUCAAGUUCUGUUGUAAUAUUUGCCAGCAACAACU